CUCUCCUCCCGCUUUC
rnacentral:miRNA from 1 species